ACAGGAUUAGAUACCCUGGUAGUCCACGCCGUAAACGAUGUCGACUUGGAGGCUGUUCCCUUGAGGAGUGGCUUCCGGAGCUAACGCGUUAAGUCGACCGCCUGGGGAGUACGGCCGCAAGGUUAAAACUCAAAUGAAUUGACGGGGGCCCGCACAAGCGGUGGAGCAUGUGGUUUAAUUCGAUGCAACGCGAAGAACCUUACCUGGCCUUGACAUCCAGAGAACUUUCCAGAGAUGGAUUGGUGCCUUCGGGAACUCUGAGACAGGUGCUGCACGGCUGUCGUCAGCUCGUGUUGUGAAAUGUUGGGUUAAGUCCCGCAACGAGCGCAACCCUUAUCCUUUGUUGCCAGCGAUUCGGUCGGGAACUCAAAGGAGACUGCCGGUGAUAAACCGGAGGAAGGUGGGGAUGACGUCAAGUCAUCAUGGCCCUUACGGCCAGGGCUACACACGUGCUACAAUGGCGCAUACAAAGAGAAGCGACCUCGCGAGAGCAAGCGGACCUCAUAAAGUGCGUCGUAGUCCGGAUCGGAGUCUGCAACUCGACUCCGUGAAGUCGGAAUCGCUAGUAAUCGUGGAUCAGAAUGCCACGGUGAAUACGUUCCCGGGCCUUGUACACACCGCCCGUCACACCAUGGGAGUGGGUUGCAAAAGAAGUAGGUAGCUUAACCUUCGGGAGGGCGCUUACCACUUUGUGAUUCAUGACUGGGGUGAAGUCGUAACAAGGUAAC
rnacentral:rRNA from 1 species